GGUGGAUAAAAUGACCGGAUGCCAUUUUCACCCUUGACUCAAAAGUGUCAGUUCUGGAAAUCUGCAGUAUUCGCCACCACGAAUACCAUUUAACUGCAGCGUUACCCAAAGGAACUCUGCACAGCCAUACGUGAAUACAACUGGAGGAACUUAAUUCAUCUUGCUGUCACUUCCAUGAUGCUUUUCAUUAGUUUUGCUGCUAUAUGAUCAACUGGAUUUCUCUGUACUGGUAAUGCUACCCAUAGCCUCUUAUAAAGUAUCUUCAAAAGGUAAACAAAGAUUCACCUUUGUGGUAGUGAACUUUUAUGCAGUGGGACGUUAUUACUGCUACUUAUAUGAAGGAAUAGCCACCUGCCAUGCUAUGAGGACACUCAAGAAGCCCUGUGAAGAGGUACACAUGGCAAGGAAGUGAAAACUCCAGCCAAAGCCAGUACCAACUUGCCAUGUAUGUGAAUGAGCUACCUUGGAAGGGGAUUCUUCAAACUGGGCCAAGCCUUCACACACCUGCAGCCAUGAUCGAUAUUUUAGUGCAAAUUCAUGAGAGACUCCUAGUCAGCACCAUCAGCUGAGCAACUCCCAAAUUCCCAACCUACAACAACUGUGUGAGAUGUUAAACCUUUAUUGUUGUUUUAGACCUCUAAAUUUGGGGUAAUAUUUUUUACACAUCAAUAGAUGGCUAAUACAUGAUGGAACUUUAUAGUCUAGAUUUAACAAUGAAAUUUCUGAAGAGUAUUACUUAAAGUGAUGGCAAGGUGGUCUAGAAUUCAGCUAAGACAGAUAUAGGAUCCUGGAAGCCUGUAUCCCAUUUGGGGCUUGUUUCCUUACCCAUGAAGUGAUAAUGUGAGAAUGAGUGAAGGUCAUCAAUCAAUGCAAGAACCAACAUAGAGAGGUGAGAGAAGUAAUACAGUCUCAUAGGAUGGGCUCAUUAUAUAUCUAUAGAGAGGAUAAGACACUUUGGAGGAGUGAAGAGUGCAUGUCAACUCUCAAGGGGGUGUCUGUCACUUAGCUUCAACCAAUAAUAGUCAUGAGAGAAUGCAGAUCCAAUUUUCUCAUUGGAUUCUUCCUUUUUUUUCUAGCUUUUUUCAGGUAUUACCCAAGUGAUAAAAAUUGUAUCUCACUUAAAUUUAAAGUCAUAAUGGCUUAAAAUUAUGAUUUCAAGAGCAUUUUCUUCCUUUUUUUUUUUUUUUUUUUUUUUUUUUUGAGACGGAGUCUCGCUCUGUCACCAGGUUGGAGUGCAGUGGCGCGAUCUCGGCUCACUGCAACCUCUGACUUCCUGGUUCAAGCAAUUCUCCUGCCUCAGCCUCCCGAGUAGCCGAGAUUACAAGCAUGCACCACCAUGCCCAGCUAAUUUUUAUAUUUUUAGUAGAGACAGGGUUUCACCAUAUUGGCCAGGAUGGUCUCGAUCUCCUGACCUCGUGAUCUGCCUGCCUCAGCCUCCUAAAGUGCUGGGAUUACAGGCGUGAGUCGCUGUGCUCAGUCUGUCUUCCCUUUUUUAUUUUCUAAUAUCUUGAGGAUAAUAUUCGAAGUUCUCUCCUGUUGGAUUCAGCUGCUCCGUCCAUUCUUCCUUUCCACUACUAUCUCUAUCCUUCUCUUUGCUUCAUAAUCAAACUUCUACAAUUCAUCUACCAAUACCAUUUCUCUAUGCCUGGUAUCAUGCUUUCUCUUUACCCGGUAAAGCUCUUUUCCACUGUCUCAACCGUCUGAAAUGCUGCUCAUCCUCAAGUGAUCCACUCAUGGCACCUCCUCUCAGAAGCUUUCCUUGAGUGCCAUACUCAUCAUUAGUGACUACUUUCCUUAGGCCUCAAGACUAAUGCCCUUUAUCACUUGGAUCUUACUAGUUCUCUUUUCUUGUUUUUAAUGUAAAACCUCAUUUGGCAAAAUUAAUAUGUCUCAUCUAUUUUAUUGCCACUUAUCAUCUCAUCUCAUAAUGUCGGCCUAUAAUACACUGUCCAGAUCUCUCUAAAAUGACAGACAUGUUGCUAAGGUGCUAAAAGUUAUAGACAGACAGCCUUUCACUGUCAACCCCUAGAGGUAUCAUCUCAGCUGUGGAGAGCUGCCUUGUCAAGGUUUUGGCCCUUGGUCGUGGACCAUAUCCAGUGAUCAAUAUGGGAUUGAAAAGGCCUAUUCAUCUUGGACCAACUUGGGGCACCUUUUUACAAGCUGGAUCAUUCAAACUCUAGAACACAGAAAGAUGCUUUUGGUUCUACGUCACAGCUCAACUUCCUCUUCUCCCUUCCACAGUGCUGACCUAGAGCCCUCCCUCAUAAACAUCCUGCAUGCUAAUCUCCAUCAGUGUCUGUGACACUGUCAUUGAGUAGGUACUCAACAAAUGCUUGGUAGGAUAAAAUUAAGUCCCAAGUACCUGUAAACAAAUAAGACAAAUUUCCCAAAGACAAGAAUAUGGUAACUCCCCCAAAAGCUCUUGAAAUUGAUGGACAGUUUAGAGAAAAAAAUUCACCUUCUCUCCAGAGACCUGUUGAUUUUGCAAUUAGUCUGAGGAAAGAAAAACCCAAGAUUUAAAUGGACACCCUGGUCUGUGUACUCUGUCUGAGUAACAGUGAUGGCUCCGAGCUGUCAGGUCUCCCCGGAGAUAUUCAAUCAUGAUGUUCUUCUCUUUCUCUAUAACAAAGGUAAUAACUCAGCAUUUUAUCUUUUCUAGGGGUGUCAUUACUUCGAAAAGAAAAUAAAAGCCUCACAAGGGUUUCUAUAAAGUGAAAAGUUUUCUAAAGGAGAAAAAGACCCUAAUUAAUUUGAGGAUGAACAAAUACAUCAGCUUUGAGAAACUUCCAUAGUAUUGGUGUUUAAAACUUCUUGAGAAAUCCUUUCAAAUGAAUAUCGUGUGCUUUAGGCCUAUAAUAUAUAACAUUAUAUAUUACAGGCAAUAAAUGUCCAGGGAUGAUUAAGCCCUGUGUAUUUCAUAUGAAGUAGGCACUUCCUAUAAAUAAAACAAUAAAGUGCAUUGUUUUAGUUAAAUAAAAUCAUACUCUCUGGAGGAAAAAACAAUAACUUUGCCUUGGAAAAAUCUGUGAUGCUGAGAAAUAUGUAGCAUCUACCCUUCAGAAACUGUGAACAGUAAGUCCAUUUUAAUCUCUGCUUUGGUAUUACCAAGUGGUUUGCCACCUGCUUUCAAGUCCAACACUUAAUUUGGAAGACAUUAAAAUGUUUUCAUUAAUUCACUAUUCUAACAUAUAGUCAUUGAACAUCCAUUUGUCAAGAACUGUGAGAGGGGCCAGGGAUACUGGAGUAACUAAGACAGAUUUUUGGCCUCCUGGAGCUUACAGUUUCCCAAAGAAUGAGAUACUGCAAUGGAAGGUGGAUCAAUGGCUACAACAAUCUGUUGAAAAUGGUCAGAAAAGUAGGGAAAGAUGGAUAAUCAGGGAGAUUAGAGAAGGGCUUUUGAGAAUUUGACGUCUAAUAUAAAGAACGCGGUUGAUUUGAGAUUCAUCAGAAAUUAGUCAGACAAAGAUAAGGGAAGAGUAUUCUGGGCAUGGUUAACAGCUUAUGCAAAGACCCAGAGGAUAAAGCAGUGUGGAGACAAGAGCUAGAAGAUGCUCAAUAAGGAAAGGCAGGGGAGAGUGGUAUAGUAUUAGUUAGGAGAAGUAGUUUGAAAGAAACUGUGAACUGCAACAAAUAUUUGAAAAACCACAAAGGAUUUUCAGGGAAGUAAUGGGCCUCAUAGUUAUGGAUUCAAAAUGUAGAAUGGUUAACUAAUAAGCAUCCAGUGGAAAUAAAGCUCUCGUAUAACCAGGUGAUUUUCAGAUAAACAUAUGCAAUAAUGCUGUAAUCUCUGGUACAAGCCACAGUUUUCCUUGCUCAGGUUUGCUGUCUACAUGCCAGCCAAUGAAACAUAGCAAGCAAGAACGAAAAAGAUAUUUUGCAUGGCUGGGCUUGUCUAGUUGGAAAUCACCAAUCCAACCACUUUUAGAGUAAAUUAAUGUUUUUAGCUGUCAUGGAAGCUGAGCAUUGAAUACAAGAAUGAAAACUAAACAGUUGAGUGUUUGACAAUUGACCCAGUUUAGCCCUCAAAUGAUGGAGUCAGCAUGCUGUGUGCACUGAAUUCUAUGUCACACACAGAGUGGCACUGAAGCAUGGAAGAAAUGACACUUUGAGGAAAAUACCAUAAGUUUUUACAUUUAUAUGCAAGUUGCGGUAUAAGUUUACAUUUCUGGCUCCCAAGCUUAUUUUUUUUCCAAUUGUCCACUUCUCUCCUGCCUACAACUUUCCUGAAUAAUUUCUGUCACAUUAUGGAUGCCCUUGCUUUUAAAGAUCUUCUAGCAUUGAGACGUAUCCUUAGACUGAGAUUACCCAUAGCUGUCUCAAGUAAAUAAAGUCUUGGAUAUCUGCAGUGGCCAGAAAUGUUUUCUUUUUUCUCUGAAGUUUCCAAAAUGAGAGUCUUUAUAAGUACAGUAGUAUUUUCAUUAAAUAAGUUGGUUCUAAUGUUUUAGAAUACAAAAGCAGCAAUUUCCAAAAGGAUACGCAUGUAUAAUCUCCUCAUACACAUAAAAUCUGUGUGUGUGUGUGAGAGAGAGAGAGAGAGAGAGCAUUUGAGUGUGUGUGUUAUAGAUUUUACUGACUUAUUUUGCUAGAAAUAAAAGUAAGGGAUCAAUACUGAUGGAAAAAUAUAGGUAACUUUGAUGUAUUUCAGAGCAGCUGCCAAGCCAUUCUCCUCUCUGGGGAAAUGCUUAUUUCAUAUGAAAUACACAGGGCUUUCUCACUCCUGGACAUAACUGAUUUGAUUAGGAUGGCUUCUAAAUGGGAUUUUCUGAGACCCAUGACUUGUGUGGCCUAGCUUGAAAAGAUGAACUGAGACAAUCAUGUUUGUUCUCAAAAACAUAAACUAAGAGAUGGAGAAGGAACGUGUCAAUUGGUGAUGGGCCCCGGAGCCAGUAGGUAGUAGAGACUCAGGUAAUACAGAUUCAUGUGCAAGAUGGAUAAGCAACAACAACAAAAAAAAAAUAGAAAGAGGAAGAAAUAGAGAUACAUAUAAGUGCGUGCGUGCAUGCACACGCACACACAUACACACACAGAGAGAGAAAGAGAGAGAGACAGAGAGAGAGAGAAUGUGCUCUGGAGAGAAAGACAGAAAGGAACAUCUUACAUGUAGGCUAGGUAGGCUUUGGUUAAUUCAAAAGUUUCUUUUCAUAUGUACCUUUUUAAUUAUCUCGUGUUUUCCCUGUGGCAACUUUAAUAUGUGUCUGUUCCUCCCAUAGUAGUAUCUUCUUUUACACCUUUAAUUAAUUGGAAGGGAUUCAGUAGACUGAAACUAGUAAGAGCCAUGGUCAAGUAUUGUAUACCAGCUUUUUGACUACAUGUAAACAAGAGAAAAGAAGGUAGCAGCAUUGUGAAGAAAGGAAAGAUAGUGGCCGAAAGGAAAAAAGGAAAGUCAGUCAUACUGGGAGAAUCCAGGGCAUUUGGGAAAUGAACUAAUAGUAGUUAUGGGAUUGAUAACAAUGGUUUCUGCAGGAAACAAAUAAUGACUUUCAGAUCUCCAGAUGAGAGACCUGUUUUCUUUUAAUGUCUAUCCUCCACUGAUAAUUUGUGAAGAUUUACAUAGAAAGAUGAGAGUAAUGUAUUCCUUAUGUUUUUAGUGUAUGUUUUGAUGGUCAAACGUUUUAUUAUUAGAGUAAUGAAGAACAUUUACUUUUGACACAUACCACAAUUACUGCCUAUCUGUUAUGGGUACAGGACAUGGGCUUAUUGAUGUGAUAGAACCUGAAAUGAUGACUUUGGUUCAUGUAUUAAAGCACGGUCAGAACACAUUUUAAGGAUGAGUUUGUGUUUGAGGAAAGAGUACGAUCAUGCCAUAGCAAUGUGGACUCACUGAUUUUGUCCUUUAUUUCAAUUUCUGGUAACUCACUAUAUAUCUGCUUUAAGAUGCAAAUCUUGAGGGAGAUAUUGCAGUAGAAUAGAGAACAUUUAUUAAACCAGUAUUCAAGGCCCACUAUGGAAGCAGUUAUGGCAUGGAGAAUAGAGAUAAAUAAGGAAGGUCAAGAAGAGUAAGAUAGAAUAGCUGAAAGUGAAAAGAAGGUAUUUCAGAUGGAGCAAAGGGAGAAUAAGAGGAUAUAAUUAGUUAGAAGGAGAAAUAAAGUAGUGGAGAUCCUUGAAGUCAAGAGCACCUAGUUAAAAUUGUAUUUACUGGAAACACUGUUUGUAGGUGAACCAGUGUACUGGAAAGGAUUUGUGGCUAUGGGUAAAGAAGACAGCCAGAUGAGGUUCAAUUAAUAUAAAAUCUUACCUAAUCCGACACUUGACUCAAGUUGUGAGCUCAAUG
rnacentral:lncRNA from 10 species